CGCACUGGCAUAACUCUGACC
rnacentral:miRNA from 1 species